rnacentral:lncRNA from 1 species
CAGUGAACUCAGAGGUGGAGAAAGUCAUAAGAAUCAGGGAGCCUGCCCCAAAUUGCCUCCUAUGAUAACUUUCCACAAAGACUGGAGGGGAGGCUUCAAACAUCUUCCUGCAGUGUCCAGCAAGACAGCGAGGCAGACUCCCUUUCUCCUGCCAAAGCCACGUGGAGCCAGACAGAACCACAAGCAUACCUGUGGUGCUUGGAGGCCCAAGUAGAAACUUGAAUGCUCACGGCUGCAUUGGCAGCUUCUACUUGCCUGCCUGGAUCACCGUUCCUCAUGAGAACUUGGAAAAGCAGGACUAUCAUUCUUGCUUGACAGACGAAGAAACCAAGCCUCAGGACUGCGUGCAAUUCUACUUGGAGAUCUUCAUAACACCUUAAGGGAAAAAUCCUUUUUGAAAGAAAAACAAGUCUGGGUGGUGCUUGAAAAUUCAGAAGGCAGCUAGAAACUCUGCCAAUUACAACUAGUCAAAAAGUCCCCACAGAGAAGACCCACUUGCUAAUCCUGAGCAGACCAUGCAAUGGAAGCAUCUUGAGGCAGAGUGGUGAAGCUGAAAGCCCUGGACUAGGAACUGGAGCUGUAGAGUCCUGCUGUGGUUCUGCUGUUGACUUACUUGUUUAAAUCAGAGAUGAAAUAACAACCUCUCUGGGCCUCUUAUCUGUGAAAUGAGAGGUUUGGCUAAUGUGGUUUCCCAGGAAUUUUCUGGCUCUAAGUUACAUUCAAUUUCAGCAGAAUAUUUGUUUCUAACCUUUCCCAUGCUGCUGCUGAGUUGGCCUAAUUGCUAGCCCUCCACUGAUUUCAUUCUGCCCCACCCCACCCUCAGAUGACUCCUUCUUUCCACUUAGAGAUAACAGCACCAAUUAACUCAGGAUAAUUUCCCUCACUGCCAAAACUAUUUCCAAAAUGCAAACUUGUGGCUGCUGAUUCAUGCUGCUAGAGAAGCACUGUUUCUUUCUGACUGGCUUCACGUGUGUUGCCACUACAGGAAGAGACCAAGUCACUGGUAAAAAGCUAGGGUAACCAGGAGAAAUGGCCCCUUCAGAUGACACUGUGAGAGUCAACAAGGUAAGAAAGAGGAAGCUUUAAAAUCACCACCAUCAUCAUUUUUGAAAUGUGGAAAGUUAGUUAUGCAUGGUGCUUGCCCUUGGGUACCUUAAAAUUGAAAACAUAUAAGCAAAACACCAUAUAUGGCCUGGCACAGUGACUCAUGCCUAUAAAUCCCAGCACUUUGGAAGGUGGAGGUGGGUGGAUGGCUUGAGCCCAGGAGUUUCAGAUCAGCUUGUGCAAUAUGGUGAAAGCCUGUAUCUGCCAAAAAAAAAAAAAAAAAAGAAAAGAAAUACACAAAAAUUAGCUGGGUGCAGUAGUGCAUACCUGUAGUCCCAGCUACUCAGAAGGCUGAGGCAAGAAGAACGCUUGAGCCCAGGAGUUUGAGGAUGCAGUGAGCCAUGAUUGCACCACUGCACUCCAGCCUAGGUGGCAGAUCAAGACCCUGUCUCAAAAGAAAAAAAAAAUAUCAAAAACCAACAAAAACCAAAAACCAUAUAAACAUCAUCUUGUAAAGUAAAUAAAUAUAUAAGUGAUUUAGGAGUCAACACAUAUUACUCAAGAGCACCCUAUUGAGGCCCCAAGUCUCAUUGACAAGAUCUAAUUGGAGUUUAUAUCUGUAAGGCCAACACUAUGAGAAUGAAUGGGGUGAUGAGCAGAAAAAUAGUAGGGCUGGGGAGGGGACACAAAGAGAGACAUUCUCAGCACAAUGCCCAAAGGAGCUCCUUCUUUUACAUGGCUAGAUGACAAGAGGAAGUGAUGAAGUCAUAAAAGGAGUCAAUGAGAGAGAAAGAAAUGGGUGAGCGAAGUUCCUCAGUAUCAAAUAAAAUGUAGUUCAAAGGAGGAGAGGCUGGUGUGAAGAGGAAAAUGACAAAGGUGAGUCAAAAAAGCUAGGCCUGGAAUAGGUUUUUGGAAUUAUCCAUUAUGAGGUCAUUGACAACUUUGUCAUAGGAGUUUCUGUGGAAUUACAGGGCAGGAUCCAGACAACAUUAAUUUACAUAGCAAAUGUUUGGAAUGAAAGUGAUGUUUCUAAGUCGAGACUAUUCUUUCAGAAAAAUUAACAGCAAAGUUUGGUACUCAAGGGGAUAAUAAAAACAAGGGAAAAAUUUUGAGGAGGAAUAAACCUUGGCCUGAGGUUAAAACAAAAAGGAAGAAUUGAUUGGAAGCAGGGCAUUAACAACACAUAGAAGAAGAAUGGCACAAUGGAUGAAGCAGAAACCAGAGAAAGGAGACGAGCUCACAAUCCUGGGUGAAGGAAUGAGGGGAAAGGAGGGUAAAGAGAUUCUGAGUUUUCAAAAAUAAAGGAUAUCAGCAGAGAGGCAGAUAUAAAGCUGGCCAGUAACUUUUAUGUGGAGAGUUUCUUGAAGAUUUCAAGCAUAGGAAGAGGGGAGAAGAGCAGAGUGCUAUGAUCCAAGAUCUAGGCUUAGAAAGUUCCAGAAAAAGAAGAAUUAGAACAAGUAAUUGGCUUAUCUCCAAAUAUGCCCAAAGAUGGGACCGAAGACAUUGCCUCACCUGCAUAACAGGGAACAAUUUACUAUAAAACUAGAAAUGAUUGGAGCAAAGGUUGAUUCUCUCACCUCUUAUUACUGUUGUCUCCAUUUCUAUUACUAACAUGGAGGGGCAGGAAAAAAAAAAACAAAGAAAAAUCAUUGCUGAUCCUAGUAAGGACUUCUGCACAUAUGUGACCAACUGCUCUGUAGAGUGUAUAUUUGACAACCCAGAGUUCUGCUGGUGUGGCAUACAACCAUUAAAUUACCUAAAACUUCUUGUUAGCUAAAAAAUAGUUUCUACUUAUAUCAUUUGUAAGUAUCCUCAGUAUACUCUAAUUUUUUGCUGACUGGAGACCUAUUUUGGGAAAUAUAUACAGGUCCACAGCUCCUUAUCAAAACAGCACCUAAGUAAGGCUCAGCCUCUUCUACUGAGUUUCACACACUAUAGUAGUGGUCAAUAAGCUUUAUUCUCAGAUAUACAUUCAAAGGUUUUAAAGAAAAAAUACAUACUUUUUCAUAAAUUUUUAAGUUAACAUCUAAAAUUUUUCAUUAACACUAUAAAUGAUUACAAAGGAUAUCAUUUUCCUGUGUGUUAUAAAUGAAUGACAUUGAAAAAUAGAACCAUUACUUCAUUUUUUGAAAAGUACUAAUGACAUCAAAAUACCAUAGUGAUCAUUUAAAAACAAAUUUUUGAUUGACAUAUAACAUUUAAAAAUGUACCAAAUUAUGAGUGUACAUCCCACUGGUUCCACAGAGUUAAGACACUCAUGUAACCAGCAAACAGACAAACAGUUUAAGAAGUUCUUCUUCGCUCCUUCUAAGACAGUCCUUUGCCACAAAGGUAACCAUUAUUGGGACUUUAGUAUCACAGAUUAGUUUCCUGUUUUUAAACUCUAUGUAAAUGGGAUUAUAUAGUAGUUAUGCUUUUGAAUAUGGCUUCUUUUGCUCAGUAUUAAGUUUAUGGAAUUUAUUGUUGGGAGUAGAAAUACGUCAUUCUCCUUGCUGUGUUGUAGUCCUUAGUAGGAAUAUACUGCAAUUUAUUUAUUACAUUUUUAGUGUACAUUUGAAUUAUUUUCAAUUUGAGGCUAUUAUGGGCAGUGCUGCUGUACAUAUUUUUAUUCAUGCUUUUUUGUGAUGUAUGUAAACAUUUAUGUUAGUUGUAUGUCUAACAGUGAAACUGUUGGAAGAUUGGGUCAUGCAUAUAUUCAGCUUUUUUUAUAUAUUGUCAUAUAUUCAGACAUUUUUCAGGGUAUUUGUACCAAAUUAUCUUUUUAUUAGAAGUAUGUGAGAGUUUUAGCUGCUCUGCAUCAUUUGAUAGUCUCUGUUUAUUUUUCCUUUUACCUAUUCUAGUGAGUAUAAAAUUUGAGCACUUUUCAAAUUUUUUUGGUUCUUUGGAUAUCCUUUUUUUGUAAGUCUCUUUCCAUUUUUCUAUUGGGUUAUUCUUUUUCUUAUUGAUCUGUUGGUACUCUCUGUAUAGUCUCUAUAUAAGCUCUUUGAUGUACAUAUUGCAAAUAUCCUAUUUCAUUCUUUGGCUUUCAAUUUUACUAGUGGUGUCUUUUAUAUGCAAGUUAUUAAUUUUAAUGUGUACCAAUUUUUAACUAUUUUCCUGUAUGGUUAGUACCUUUUAUAUCCUGUAUAAGAAAUUUCUGCCAACUCAAGAUUAUGAAAAUGUUCUUGCAAGUACUCCUCUAGAGGUUAUAUUAUUUCAGCAUUCACAUAAAUAUAAAUAUAAUCUCAAUAUGAUAUAAUAUAAAAUUACUACUGUAUUACAUAAUUAAUUAGGUAAAAAUCAAUUUGAAUUGACUUUUGUGUACUGUGUGAGGCAGAAGUAAAAGUAAUUCUCCCCUGCUUCAUAGCCAAUUGACCCAAGAAUAUUUACUAAAAUGGCAUAUAUUUCCACAACACUGCAAGGCCAUCUUUGUUAUAAAUUAGGCAACCUUAUAUUUGUGGUUAUGUUUCUAUUUGGCUAUCUUCACCAUGAGAAUUUGAUUUGGUCCCUGGCAGUAAAACCCACAAAACUGAGUCCCCAGAAGUUCACCCACUCUUAAGCUAGUCCACAGGCAUACUGUAGCAGUUCCUCAACAAUUAAGUGUUCCUACAGUUUAUGGCUCCAAGUGGCUUCUGCUUAAGGUGAGCUGAUCUCAACUGUGAUUCUCUGUAUUCACUUAUCUCUUCAAAUUUCACAGUAGCAGUUUGUCUUGCAACCUCAGUUUUUUGAUGGAUCUAAGAAAAGUCAUUUAUUUUCAGUUUG